rnacentral:rRNA from 1 species
AUUGAACGCUGGCGGAAUGCUUUACACAUGCAAGUCGAACGGCGGCACGGACUUCGGUCUGGUGGCGAGUGGCGAACGGGUGAGUAAUAUAUCGGAACGGGCCCAGUCGUGGGGGAUAACGUAGUGAAAAUUACGCUAAUACCGCAUACGAUCUAUGGAUGAAAGUGGGGGAUCGCAAGACCUCGCGCGAUUGGAGCGGCCGUUAUCAGAUUCGGUAGUUGGUGAGGUAAAGGCUCACCAAACCGACGAUCUGUAGCUGGUCUGAGAGGACGACCAGCCACACUGGAACUGAGACACGGUCCAGACUCCUACGGGAGGCAGCAGUGGGGAAUUUUGGACAAUGGACGCAAGUCUGAUCCAGCCAUUCCGCGUGCAGGACGAAGGCCUUCGGGUUGUAAACUGCUUUUGUACAGAACGAAAAGGUCUCUAUUAAUACUAGGGGCUUAUGACGGUACUGUAAGAAUAAGCACCGGCUAACUACGUGCCAGCCGCCGCGGUAA